rnacentral:sRNA from 1 species
CAAAUCAAUCUUGUCACUCCUCGGAAAGCAAUGCAAGAUAAUAAGUGGUAUUCACCUGAUUGCUUUCCUGCUCCGAGACAGCUGGUGACGCGUGUCUUCCUGAUAACCAGGAGUUUCAGAUCUAAGGCAUGGAUAAAGGGAAACUGGAAGCUCUCGGAAUCUAAAUGUGACAGUCGAUGGCUGAGGAGAGGGUCAGAAGGAAUAGAAUCUGUGACACGUAUGAGAAAGGAACAAAAUUUAUCUGCUCUGGUUGCAAUGAUUAGAUGUCUCUUUGUCUGGCUUUCCUUGCAGUGGGUGACUGAUCGUACCCGCCAGCUGGCUAAUGUCAUAAUUAACAAAGUGCUACUACAUCUGCAAAGUUUAAUCAAAAAAUUUGCCAGUGAUAUGAUGGCAAUGUCACAGAGAUCACAAGGAACACAGAGUCGACUUUUGCUCAAGGUGGAACGACAGCUGUGUAGGCAGAUGAGAAAUUGCGAACUUGUUCGGCCAAAGGAGGCUAAUAAUGAAGGGGCCGGGAAGGAGGCCAGUGCUACCAGGGUUAUCUCACAACCUCAGUUGCUGGAUAAGUCGACGGAGGCAAAAUCGCUUUGGGAUGACAUUCAGAAAGGCUGGAGUGAUUACUUGGAAGAGAAAAGCCUACCUAUUCUUUCCA